GCUUUGGUGGCGGAAUGGUAGACGCGGCGCACUCAGAAUGCGUUGUCUUGUGACGUGUGGGUUCGACUCCCACCUGAAGCA
rnacentral:tRNA from 1 species